rnacentral:rRNA from 1 species
UACGUAGGGGGCAAGCGUUGUCCGGAUUUAUUGGGCGUAAAGAGCGUGUAGGCGGCCAUUCAGGUCAGCUGUGAAAACUCGAGGCUCAACCUCGAGACGUCGGUUGAAACCGUUUGGCUAGAGUCCGGAAGAGGAGAGUGGAAUUCCCGGUGUAGCGGUGAAAUGCGCAGAUAUCGGGAAGAACACCAGUGGCGAAGGCGGCUCUCUGGGACGGUACUGACGCUGAGACGCGAAAGCGUGGGGAGCGAACAGG